GAUGAAGUACGCAGCGAAAUGCGAUAAGUAAUGUGAAUUGCAGAAUUCAGUGAAUCAUCGAAUCUUUGAACGCACAUUGCGCCCGCCAGUAUUCUGGCGGGCAUGCCUGUCUGAGCGUCAUUUCAACCCUCAUGCCCCUAGGGCGUGGUGUUGGGGAUCGGCCAAAGCCCGCGAGGGACGGCCGGCCCCUAAAUCUAGUGGCGGACCCGUCGUGGCCUCCUCUGCGAAGUAGUGAUAUUCCGCAUCGGAGAGCGAUGAGCCCCUGCCGUUAAACCCCCAACUUUCCAAGGUUGACCUCAGAUCAGGUAGGAAUACCCGCUGAACUUAAGCAUAUCAAUAAGCGGAGGA
rnacentral:misc_RNA from 1 species